UAUAGGUGUUGGAAGUGGGAAUAAUAGUACACUCAGUGGUAAUAGGAAUAUCACUUGGGGCAUCACAAAGUCCAGACACUGCCAAAGCUCUCUUUGCUGCUUUAAUGUUUCAUCAAUGCUUCGAAGGUCUUGGUCUUGGUGGUUGCAUCGCCCAGGGAAAUUUCAAUUGUAUGUCAAUUACAAUAAUGUCGAUAUUUUUCUCUGUAACGACGCCGGUGGGAAUAGCGGUCGGAAUGGCAAUUUCAAACUCUUAUAAUGAGUCGAGCCCAACGGCUCUGAUCGUCCAGGGAGUCCUUAACGCUGCCUCAGCAGGCAUCCUCAUCUAUAUGUCUCUCGUAGACUUUCUCGCAGCAGAUUUUAUGCACCCAAAGAUGCAAUCUAACACUGGACUUCAAAUCAUGGCCCAUAUCUCUCUUCUUGUUGGAGCCGGGAUUAUGUCACUUUUAGCUAAAUGGGCUUAGAACGAAUCGUCUCCCGUUAAAUACGUACAGUUUGUUAUGCAAAUGAUGAUAUAUAUAAAUUAUGGUACAAAUCGCGAGAUUACAAAUUGCUAAUGUUCACUUUAUAGUUCAUAGUCUUGUUUAUACAGAUUAUAAAAGUUUUUUAAUUUAUGA